rnacentral:rRNA from 1 species
GAUCCUGGCUCAGGAUGAACGCUAGCUACAGGCUUAACACAUGCAAGUCGAGGGGCAGCAUUUCAGUUUGCUUGCAAACUGGAGAUGGCGACCGGCGCACGGGUGAGUAACACGUAUCCAACCUGCCGAUAACUCGGGGAUAGCCUUUCGAAAGAAAGAUUAAUACCCGAUGGUAUAAUCAGACCGCAUGGUCUUGUUAUUAAAGAAUUUCGGUUAUCGAUGGGGAUGCGUUCCAUAGGCAG